rnacentral:lncRNA from 1 species
CUCCCCCGUCCUCUUUUUCUUUCCUUUGUGGUAAGUUGAGCCUCCAGUCCUUCUAUUAGUGGAUUGCCCAGGCAGUAGAUAUCAUGAUAGAGAUAAGAUACGAUGGAGGAAACCCCAAUAUUGGAAACCAUAGGAGAUGUUUGGCUUAGGUUCGAUGGACCAUGAUGGCGAUGAGAUAGCCCAUAGAGAUGGAAAGUAGCUAUCUGUGAUCUAAGUAGGUAAAAG